CGCACCGCCACUUCCGCGGGGCGGGGCGGGCCUUCCGGGCCCGGGGCCAACCGGCUCCGCCUUGGGCUACACAGGCGCGGCUGCUGGCGCAGGCGCAGAGGCGGACGCGGGCGGCCCGAGAUCUGCGGCGUUAGCCCCGCCCCCCGAGAGCAGCAGCGUUGGCCCCCCCCCCGUGCCCGCCCCCCCCAGCUCUGCAGCAUCAGCCCCGUCCCCGCCUCGCGCAGGCUCUUUUAGGUGGGACGGGCCGGGGGCCCCCGCUGUGUUCUCUGUCUAGGACUCUUUCCCUCUCUCCCCCCCACUCCCCACUCACACAUAAGCUCUUGGAACCAAAGCCCGUCGAGUCUGUCUUUGGAGCUCCGUGGCUGGCUACAGUGCCUGGCACAGAGCAGUGUUUGCUGAAUGAAUGACCCCGAGGGAAGUCCUGGGAUUUAGAGCAGCAGGAAGUCCCAGGGAGCCGGCGAGGAUGGCUGGUGCCUCGUCUGCUUCAUCGCACUGGAUUCUCCCGAUUCUGGGAUGGAGCUUCGUUGUUCUUGUUGACGACCGAGCCUGUGGUUUCGUCCCUGUGGGCAGCACCCGGGGAGGAACACCCCUGACCCUUGAAGACCCGCACCUGCUCUGCAGUUUCAUCUCAGAGAACUGCAGAUUAAAGGAACAAAAGGUUUUGAGCUGAACGUGAACCCCAGAGAGCAGCUGGGUCUAGAGAAGAUCCUAGAGAGAUGACUGGCUGUCAUUUAACACAGCCCUGUCGGUCUAUGGAUCAGGAAACAGAGACUCAGAGACAGGAAAUGAACUCUCCAGGGUUGUUCAGGCCUGUUCAACUCUUCAUGACCCCCAUUUGGGGUUCAGAUACUGGAGUGGUUUGCCAUUUCCUUCUCCAGUUCAUUUUACAGAGAAGGAAACUGAGUCAAACAGAGCCAAUGGGAUUGGGCAAGGACUUCUUCAGCAUCUGCUAUCCUCCAGGCACUGGACUGGUCCUUGGAAGAGGCCUGAGCAGCUCCACCAACCCCAUCCACCAACGGAUCAAUCCCCACUGUAACCAGCCUGAUAAGAAGUGAACCAGCUUGUCAUCGGAGACUUCUCUGGCCUCUCAAAUCAGCAGCGGAUUCUACUUCAGGCAGCUUUCACUAGAAGAUGGUGCCUGCCAUCAAGCCUAAGUUUUCCUCUUUAUAACUGCUACCCACGGCCUUCCUGCUUCUGCCCUCUGGAGUCAAAUAGAACCUGGCUAAUCCUUCCCCCACAUAACACCCCUUCACAUAUUAGAAAACAGAAGCCUUCUCCCCUCCGGUAUAACCAUGCACACUCCCAGCCUUCUUUUGGACAGCCAUCAUUUCCCUCUUCUUCAGUGUCCUGAAGGGCCAUGACCAGACUCGGUUGUUCAGCAAGCCUAGAACAAGCUCCUCCCAAGUGCCAGGCACUGGGAGUACCAAGACAAAAAUAAAAUAGUCCCUGCCCUCA
rnacentral:lncRNA from 1 species